rnacentral:tRNA from 1 species
UGCCUGAGUAGCCAAGAGGUAAGGCGAUCGACUAAACGGUUAUCCUGAUGUCGGUAAACCACAGGUUCGAAUCCUGUCUCGGGUAA